rnacentral:miRNA from 1 species
UGUAAAAUUGGUUCGACUAUUU